rnacentral:rRNA from 1 species
UGGGGAAUAUUGGACAAUGGGCGAAAGCCUGAUCCAGCCAUGCCGCGUGAGUGAUGAAGGCCUUAGGGUUGUAAAGCUCUUUUGCCGGGGACGAUAAUGACGGUACCCGGAGAAUAAGUCCCGGCUAACUUCGUGCCAGCAGCCGCGGUAAUACGAAGGGGACUAGCGUUGUUCGGAAUCACUGGGCGUAAAGCGCACGUAGGCGGAUUUGUAAGUCAGGGGUGAAAUCCCGGGGCUCAACCUCGGAACUGCCUUUGAUACUGCGGAUCUCGAGUCCGAUAGAGGUGAGUGGAAUUCCUAGUGUAGAGGUGAAAUUCGUAGAUAUUAGGAAGAACACCGGUGGCGAAGGCGGCUCACUGGAUCGGUACUGACGCUGAGGUGCGAAAGCGUGGGGAGCAAACAGGAUUAGAUACCCUUGUAGUCCCUGAGCGGGCUGGCAAGGCGCAU